rnacentral:rRNA from 1 species
CGAACGCUGGCGGCGUGCUUUAUACAUGCAAGUCGGACGAUGAAGUUCCUUCGGGAAUGGAUUAGUGGCGAACGGGUGAGGAACACGUGAGGAAUCUGCCCAUCAUUUUGGGAUAACACCGGGAAACCGGUGCUAAUACCGAAUACUCCGUCUUGGCGGCAUCGCCGAGCCGGGAAAGAAUUUCGAUGAUGGAUGAUCUCGCGGCCUAUCAGCUAGUUGGUGAGGUAACGGCUCACCAAGGCAACGACGGGUUAGCCGGCCUGAGAGGGCGACCGGCCACACUGGGACUGAGACACGGCCCAGACUCCUACGGGAGGCAGCAGUAGGGAAUAUUGGGCAAUGGGCGCAAGCCUGACCCAGCGACGCCGCGUGAGGGAUGAAGGUCUUCGGAUUGUAAACCUCUUUCAGUAGGGAAGAAGCGAAAGUGACGGUACCUAAAGAAGAAGCACCGGCUAACUAUGCGCCAGCAGCCGCGGUAAUCUGAUGGCGCGAGG